GGGAGAAAGACCACUGACAUCAGUGCAGCCUUUCUGGGGAGCAAUGUGUGAGCUCAGCUUUGGAGAAGAAAUGAGGUUUUAAAGAGUGUGGGAGAAGAGUCUUCCAAGGACUCUUCUUGGAAGACCAAUGUCCCCUCCUCCCUGCCAUUCCCCCUCCUGCAGCUGUUCCCUUCUUCCCUCUGUCCUUGCUCAGCACGGUCACAACGACUCUCCAAAUCAUGAUGCUCAAAACGCCACAUCUAAAAAGAACAUCCGGAACAGGAGACGCACAGUUCCAACAGUUAUUGUAUACAUCACUGACCAUAUUAACGACUCCACAAAAUCAAUCCUGGGUCCACCAAAUAUUGUGUUACCUGAAGACUAACUUAUAAAAUUAAACUUCAACAACAUGAAUAUACAACAAAUGAACAGAGAGAAAAGAUCAAAUUGGUGAGCAUAUAAUGUAAAUGUGUACGUAUUACAAAGAAAAAAUAUAGAAAGCUACUACCAUAUCUGUUUCUGUAAUUUGUCAUGAGGCCGUAAUACCAUUAAAAUUUUUAAAUUAAUUAAUUAAUUUUUCACCACACUUCUUCUGCUUUGUGGAUUCAGGCCGUGAUGGAUACAAUGACUUCUUCCUUUCAUUAUCCCCUCCAUAUUUCUCCUGCCCUCAUCAAGAACCUCAAUUCAUCUCAGGUCUUUGUAUUUUUGAGUGCCCUAAACCUCCAUUCCCAAAGGACUAAGUCCUCA
rnacentral:lncRNA from 1 species